GCAACUUCACGUUUCUUUGUAUAUUUAUUUGUCUAUUGUGGAUCAACUAUUCGGCAAGUUGUUCAAGCAAUUCAUUGUUCCACACAGAAAUUUUACUCUUUUUCUUUAUUAAAAGCAUUUACAUGCACACCUGAUUUGGUUUUGUUUCGGUUUAUAAAUUGUUGAGAUUAUUUUUAUGGUGGUUGGUUGAAUUAUAAUAUAGAGGGAAAAGAAAACGAAGUGACGAUAGAAAUUCAUUUGUCUGUCAAUCCGCUGAUAUUCUUUGAUGUUAUUUAUGAAUCCCGACAGGUUCUGAUCGUUUUCAUAUUUCCCUCUUUUGCUUGAUUUGUUGAUCAAUUAUUUAUGGUUUUCGAAUUGUUUUCAGAAUUGGGCAAAUGAUGAAUCAGAAAUAGUGUAAAUGGGUAAUUUGCAUCUGAAUAUCGUUGAUGUUAAUAUCACCUUGGAGAACUGAUGCCCUAAAUUCGAUGGAGAUUUGUUACUGUGUUUUGUUUUCUGUUUUUUUGGAUCCAACAUUUACUUUUUAUUUGUGCUCUCGGACCAAAUUGGAUCUAGGUUUAGGUUUAAUUCUUGAUUGAUUUUUUAAAAUCUUUUUGGUUAUUCCAAGCGGAGAUGUUAAUUUGUUAAGGAAUUUAAGUCGCUGGCCAAAGUGAAUGAGGUUUUUAAGACUAAUCAAGGAUGAUUAUCGUUCGGAUUAAAUGUUGGUUGAAAAACAGAUGUUAGAAUGUGAAUGCAAAGGAGUUGGAGAAACGAGAAGGGUCUAUAUGUUAGACUCUGAGAAGUUUUUAUCAGAAGCAGAACUGGUAGAUUUCUUGUUAAUUUGUGAAAGAAUCACAUGGUCCCAAUUAGAUGUCUGACAGAUUGAUAUUUUCAAAGUGGUGGUUAGUCAAAUGGCCAGAAUGUUUGCACUGGUGUUUGGAUUAAAGUCCCUAUCCAAUUCUAAUUCUCGAGAAAUUGAGGUCCAAUUUUAAUUUGUUAGAAAAUGUUGGAUAUGUUAAUUUGUUAUUAAAGUUAAUUUGCUGGCCAAAGGCAAAAGUGAUUUAUUAAACGCAUCAAAGAUGAGAUAAUGACAUUCUCAGUUGUACAUAGAGAUGAGGAAAUAAGAAAGGUUGGUUGGGAUUGCGAGAAUACGAAAUAUGUUGACCCGAAUAACAUAAAUUUCAAGUUGCUAAUAGUUCUUUUUUCAGAACAGAAUGAGAAUGCAAAGUAGUUGGAGAUAUUACUCAAGCAGAAAAAAGGGCUAGAUGCUGUGUAAGUGUAAUGGAUGGAUCAUUUAUGAUAAAAUUAUAUUAUUAUUGUCCCUUCAUUGACAUUAAUGAUAUUGUCAGAGUUGAAUUUAGAGGGGAGGAAAUAAGAAAUGUUGGUUGGGAUUGUCAGAGUUUGAAGAAUCAUGGCCCAAAUAACAUAAAUUUCAAGUUUAUUAAGUAGUUUUGGGAUGUGAUUGGAGCCGAUCAAUAUCUUUAAUCAGUAACAUGUGGCUAAAAAAGUUAUCUUUGAUUUGCAAUCUGCCUUCUCAGAGGGCCGACAGAUGGUAGAUGGGAUACUCAUAGCAAAUGAAAAAGUAUAUGAUUUUGUGGACCGUAAAAAUUUGGACUUUGAUGAUGGAUUCAACAUUAAAGGGAGGGGCUGGAUUUUAGAGUGUCUUCGAACAUCAACUAUUUUAGUGUUGGGCGAUGCAAAAGAAUUCGAAGUUGGUAAAGGUCUAGGCAAGGUGAUCCUCUAUUGUUUUUUUUUUCUAUUUUUCUGUGUUAUUAGCUGAUAGAAAAGAUGUUCACUUCUCGGGCAUAUGUAGUAAGCAAAAUAUAUUUUAAUUGUGGGAAAAAGUUGACAAAACAUGAAGGCAUGAAGGCAAAUCUAUAGUUAUGAGUUAAUAUUUGGUCUUAAAAUAAACUUUUAUAAAAGUAUUUUAGUUGGAGCGAAUAUUUCAUAAUAUUAGCAAAUCUAUUAAAUAUUAAGGUUGGAACUACUUGAUUCAAAUACUUGGAUACUUCUGUUGGUUGCAAAUCUACAGUUAUUUGAGUUAAUAUCUGAUCUUAAAAUAAAGUUUCAUAGAAGUCUUUUUGUUGGAGUCAAUUUUCCACGAUAUUAGUUAGACUAAGCAGCAAUUCUGUUUAAUUGUAAGGUUUGAACUAGUAUUAAAUUCAAAUACUAGGAUAUUCCUGCUGGUUGUUGUAAUCAUAGAAGAAAAGUUUUGGAAAUUGGUGAUUAAUAUAGUGUAAGGAAAAUUGUCCAAGUGGCAUAAUCAGCAGUUAUCCUUACAUGAUCGAGUCAUCCUUCUAAAAUUUGUUAUAUGCAUUACCGGUAUAUUUCCUUUCUUUCUUUAAAGCCUCGUCAAGUAUUAUUUCUUUAAAAAUUUCUUAUGGGGUGGAGGAUUGGAAAGCAGAAAAUAAGUAGGGGUUAAUUGGAAAAGGUAUGUUAGGAAAGAGAGGAAGCGGGAUCUAGGUAUAAAAAAUUCCAGGGUGUUAUACCUAGCAUUAUUAGGCAAGUGGGAAUGGAGAUUACAUGCGAAGAAAUAAAGUUUGUGGGUUAAGGUAAUAAAAGUAAAUAUGGUGAAAUCAUUGGUAGAGUGAGUACAAUUGAGAGAAUGGGGUCAGAUUGGUGGCAGGACAUAAAAAAGGUAGAAAGUGGGUUGUGGGAUUGAAAAAUGAUUUUUGCUAUGUCUUGGGCUAUUGUUAGUAACCCAUGAAGUUGAUGUUGUGUUGAUCUGUUGUUGUUGUUGUUGUGUGAACAUGUGAUGAAACUAUAUUAUGGUUGUUGUUUCUUGUUGUCAUAACAUGUUGAUUACAUGAGUUUGGUUGUUAUGGUUAGAAAUUUAUGAGGUUAGGAAGUGAUGAAAACAUAGUGCAUAUAUCCUUGUAUGAUGAUGAAAUUAUGGUAUGAAAUGCUUGAGUAUGUUAGAAUAUGAUUGGAUAUGGUUUGGGUGGUUAGAGGUUGAUUGUGUUGAAAACCCUCCUCUUUUUCUAAAAUCUAAAUUUGAUUCUAUUUUGAGUAAAACUUAGUUGUCUAAUGUGCAAAUUUGACAAGUGGUAGGUACAUAUGUGAUCAUGACUGAGAAUUAAAAGUUGGGGAUAUAAGAUGAUGUAUUGGUGAAUUGUGAAUAAGUGUGUGUUUGUAUGGCAGUGAUGUCUUGUGAGUUUCUGUAUAAUGUCACUGCCGAGGAGAAAACUAUAACCCUAAGACUGAAAUUUGAAUGUGUUAUGAGAUAAUCAAUAGUGCUAAUAUGAAGAAAAUUAUAAGAUAGUAGAUAACUAUCUAAGUAUUUAGCAUAAUACUGUUUCUCGAUGUUUAUAUUGUAAGAAAUUUGUUUACUUAAAUGUACUUAUACAAGUCUCCUAUUUCAUUUCGUUUAGUUAACGGUAAGUCUCCUAUUGUCAUUGUAUUUUGCCAGUCCUCUUCCUGAUCUAGAUAGAGAUUCAAGAACAUUGCCACCAGUUUGAUGAAACUCGCAAGUGCAGUAUGGCUCAUGAGUAAUGAGAUACAUGUCGCGACUGGUUCAAACAAGAUGAUGCAACUCGGAAGCUCGACACAAGGUGUGACUAUAAAUCGGAAGUACUCACAAUCUCUAAUACCCGGCAAAAUUGACCGAUCCUACAUACAAGCUUUUUUACAUAUACUAUGUGCUUUUGGGAGAAAUCUCGGUCAAAGUUUCACUUAUCUGGCGUAGAAUUUGCAUCGUAUAAUUUAGUCGGUCUGCGAGUUCUUAUCGAGGAGUGUUCCUGAACAGAGGAGGUCUGAUUAUUAUAGAUGAAUUGGAUGGACAAAAUUCUGUGUUUGUAAAAUGUGCAGUUGCAUAGAGCUGCUGUGAACGUCUUGCGUUGCUCAAAGCUCCCAGAUCGGGAUGCAAUCGGCUCACAAUGAGAGCCAUAGUGCCAAUGUGACGCCGAUGUCGAUGAUAAAGUUGGUUAGGGCAAAUCUGAGAGUCGAGAUGAGACAUGAAUCACCAUGUUAAUACUGCUGAUACCGUCAUUUGGAAGAUAAGUAUUUCGCACACAUUCUAUUGACCGAGUAUGAUUAACUAUUGUUUGUUUACAACGCUGUGUUUGAUGAUCUAAUGCCAUAUAACUCAACUUACAAUGUGUAUGUGUUAUCUAUAUGUUGUGGUGUCGAUUUUUGUAUGUCUUGCUAUGCAUUUUGAUUUUAGAGUUACAUUUGGAAGAUUGUGAAAAUUGUUGGGACAAAUUUGCAUUUCUACGAUUCGGAAAGAAAUUGAGGAUGACACUAUUCAUCUAAUCAUCUACCUGCCAAGUGUUGUCAAUUUAAUGUUGAUAGAUCUUCCUGUUUUAGCAAAGGUCGCAGUAGAGGGACAACCAGAAGGGAGUGACAUCUAAUUCUAUCGAAAUCCCUAAACAAAUUGACCCUUUUGGUGAAAGAAAAAUCGGUGUACCAUGAAUACUCAAUGAUUUCUGUAUAUCUCUUACCUUUUUAACUUCCUAAAAUCACAGCCGACUAUUGUCUAUUAACUAAAGUGUCCACGAAUGCCUAUCUUUAUAGACAAGAUAAAUAAACUAUUAAUGUAUGAAUAUAGUGGAGAUUAUAGUUGUUUAGGGGCUUACUCUACAGUUGGUUGAUAAUAAUCACCCUAGAUUCAUCCUUGGUUCUUGUUGUUUUGUCACAUUAUAUGUUACAGGUUGUUUCUACCAGGAUAGUGGGUCAUUUGGGUGAACUGAACGCUAUUUGUAUGACGUGGUUAUGAUGUUUGAUUACUACUUUUAAAUGUUUGCAGUAAGCAUCCGUGAUGACAACGACUACAUAUCGAGUCUCAUGGGAGGAGAAAUCAAGAUUGCAAUGAUCGGAGAUGAAAAGUCAAGCUGUAAUGUCAUCGUAAAAGAGUCGGAUUGAAAAUGACAAUGACAAGUCAGUGUUUCUUUUACUUCCGCUUCUCGAAUAUGAAUUGAAGUUUAUCAUCCUAUGUUCCAAACCGGACAUGGAAGUUAAGGUGGUUGAGGUGAAUCACGUGUAGCAAUUACAAUAGCUUCAGAUCAGUUGCUCUCGCAAAUAGUAGCAGAUUUCCAAGAGUCGUAACCGAGCAGGAAAAGUUCGCUCACGAUGAAACCUGAAGCUGGUAUAUUUGAGAAACAUGGACCUUGAUGGCUUUGGUGAUUAUGGUACUGUUUUGGGCGACUACAAAACUUAAAAGAUAGUAUGAAAGCAAGAUUACUAGUCUUAAGGGAUAUUGGAAUAUCAUACAGACUGGGAAGCAAUUCAAUAAAGAUACUUUCCCAGCAAGUCUGAUGCAAUGAAUUGUGUUGCACGGAAUUGGGUCACAUUAUUUACAACUUUAUCAUGGCGAGAGCUCUAUCAGUAUGAAGAUUUAUUAAUAAAAUAAGUAUAUACAAUUUUAUAUUUUGGAAAUGCAUUAAUUUUAUUGUUGGAACUUGGUAAAGUUUACUUUUAAAGGCGUCGCUCAUUUCUCCUGUGUGGGCGUGAGGCGCCCCUGUCUUUCCAACCUAAAGAAAUUUUGCAGGACUAUUGUCGGAAGGACCUAUGCCUUACCAAAGAGUAUGGCCAAUGAGCACUAUGGUAAAAAAAACCAAGGAAAUCACAAACUGAAAGUCAAAGAAGACAAGUCAAUUGAUACGACAAAAUCGAUUCAUUUCGUACGAGAAAGAAUCUGACACAAAAACUGGACAAUAUCUUAAAAUUACUACUAACUGAUUGAACUCUCUAAGUUUGUAUAUCGGUUUUGCAGGGAAGGAACACGAAUGCGCUCCACGAGAAAGCAAACAAUCUGGAAUUAUCAAACUCUGGUCAAUGGGUAACUCCCCGGUCAGAUGAGUUUUCACUCUCGGCCAUAGUGGUAACACUCCGAUUUGAUUUUGUUUCGGUUUGUAAAUUGUUGAAAUUGAUUUUGUAGACUUUAGUUGAAUUAUAAUAUAGAGGGAAAAGAAAAGUGAAGUGAUGAUAGAAAUUCAUUUGUCUGUCAAUUUGCUGAUAUUCUUUGAUGUUAUUCAUGAAUCCCGACAGGUUCUGAACUUCUGAUCGCUUACCUAUUUCCCUUUCUUGCUUGAUUUCUUCAUUUCUUGAGUUUCUCGAUUUGUUGAAUCAAUUAUUUAUGAUUUUUGAAUUGUUAUCAGAAUUGGGCAAAUGAUGAAUCCGAAAUAGUGUAAAUGGGUACUUUGCAUCUGAAUAUCUAAUAUCACCUUGGAUAACUGAUGCCCUAAAUUCUAUGGAUAUUUAUGUUUGUUAGUUUGCUUAUGUGUUUUGUUAUCUAUUUUUGGAUCUAUCUAAUCUACAAUGACCUUGACAUUAAAAUUAUCAUCGUACUAGAAUGACUUGGUCAUUGCUACAUGGAUGGAUCACUUGAUUUGCGAUAGAAUUAUAUUAUUAUUGUCCCUUGAUUGGCAUUCAUGAUAUUGUCAUAUUUGAAUUUAGAGAGGAGGAAAUAAGAAAUGUUGGUUGGGGUUGUGAGAGUUUGAAGAAUCCUGACCCUAACAACAUAAAUUUAAGUUUAUUAAGUAGUGUUGGGAAUGUGUACUUUCACAUAUUCAUUGCUGAAUUUCAUUCUAAUGGCAAAAUAUUGUGUGGAGCUAAUAAGAUAAAUUUCAAGUUUAUUAAGUAGUUUGGGAAAGUAUUGUAUGGAGCUAAUAAUGCUUUUUUAGCAUUGAUUCCAAAGAUUGAGAAUUUGGCGAAGCUAAAUUAUUUUAGGUCGAUAUCUUUAAUUAACAACAUGUGGCUAAAAAAGUUAUCACUGAUUUGCGUUCUUAGAGGGCCGACAGAUGGUGGAUGGAAUACUCAUAGCAAAUGAGUUAGUAAAUGAUGCAAAUCUGAGGAAAAAAGAAGCGUUGAUGUUUAAAGUAGAUUUUGAAAAAGUAUAUGAUUUUGUGGACCGUAAAUAUUUGGACUGAUGGGAUUCAACGAUAAAUGGAGAUGCUGGAUUUCAGAGUGUCUUCAAACAUCAAUUAUUUUAGUGUUGGUCAAUGGAAGUGUCACAUAAGAAUUUGAAGUUGGUAAAGGUCUAGGCAAUGCGAUUCUCUAUCGCUUUUCCCUAUUUUGAGUGUUAUUUGUUCGAUAGAGGAGAUGCUCACUGCUUGCAUAUGCAAUACGCAAAUGAUAAUUUAAUUGUGGGAAAAAGUUGGUAAAACACGAGGGCCAUGAAGGCAAAUCUACAGUUAUUAGUUAAUAUAUCUUCUUAAAAUAAACUUUCAUAAAUGUCUUUUUGUUGGAGUAAAUAUUCCACAAUAUUAGUUAGAUGAAGCAACUAAUCUGUUUAAUUGUAAGGAUGGAACUGCUAGAUUCAAAUACUUAGAUAUUCAUGUUGGUUGUAAUCAUAGAAGAAAGGAGUUCUGGAAAUUGAUGAUUAAUGGAGUGUCAGGAAGAUUGUCCAAGUGGAAUAAUCAGCAAUUAUCUACACGUGGUUGAAUUAUCCUUCUAAAAUUUGUUAUACGCAUUACCUGUCUAUUUCCUUUCUUCAAAGCCUCGUCAGGUAUUAUUUCUAAUUUUGAAUCUCUCUUUAAAAAUUUCUUAUGGGGUAGAGGAUUGGUAAGUAGGAAUGGAGAUUACUUACAAAGAAAUAAAGUUUGUGCUAUUGUUAGUAACCCAUGAAAUUGAUGUCGUGUUAAUGUUUUGUUGUUGUGUGAACAUGUGAUGAAACUAUGUUGUGAUUGUUGUUUCUUGUUAUCAUGACAUGUUGAUUACAUGAGUUUGGUUGUUAUGGUUAGAAAUUAAUGAGGUUAGGAAGUGAUGAAAACAUAGUUGUUUAUAUAUCCUUGUAUGAUUAUGAAAUUUAUGGUAUGAAAUGCUUGAGUAUGUUAGAAUAUGAUCGGAUAUGGUUUGAGUGGUUAGAGGAUGAAGAAAAUGAGUUAAAAGUGAGUAUUUAUGCUCUUAAGCUGUCUGGUUUGUAUUGUAGUUUUCAAAAUGAAAAUGGUGUUGAAAACCCUCCUCUUUUUCUAAAAUCUAAAUUUGGUUCUGUUUUGGGUAAAGCUUAUGUUAGAAUGAUUUCAAGUUAUACUUACCCGGAUUUUUCCAAAGAAUAGACUGAGAAUGGAGAAUUAUUCAUUUCAUUUGACUGGUUUUCUUGUCAAAUUAUGUGGCAAUUAUAGUUGUCUAAUGUUGCAAAGUUGACAAGUGAUAGUUACAUAUGUGAUAAUGAGUGAUAAUUAAAAGUUGGGAUAUAAGAUGAUGUAUUGGUGAAUUGCGAAUAGGUGUGUGUUUGUGUGACAGUGAUGUCUUGUGAGUUGCUGUAUAAUGUCACUGCCGAGAAGAAAGUUAUAAUCCUAAGAGUGUAAUUUGAAUGUGUUAAGAGUAAUUAAUAGUGCUAAUAUGAAGAAAAUUCUAAGACAGUAAAGUUAUUCUUUGAUGUUUAUUUUGGCAAUUGCCUAUAUUGUAAGAAAUUUGUUUACUUAUUCAAGAUGGAUAUUAAAUGAAUUUGGUUCACUUAUUGAGUAUGUUGAAAUAGCUUUUGGGAGAAAUCUCCGUCAAAGUUUCACUUAUCUGGCGUAGAAUUUGCAUCGUAUAAUUUAGUCGGUUUGCGAAUUCUUAUCGAGGAGUGCUCCUGAACAGAGGGGGUCUGAUUAUUAUAGAUGAAAUGGAUGGACAUAAUUCUGUGUUUGUAGAAUGUGCAGUUGCAUAGAGCUGUCACUCAAAGCUCCCAUAUCGGGAUAGAAUCGGGACGAAAUCUGCUCACAAUGAGAACCAUAGUGCCAACGUGAUGUCGAUGUCGACGAUAAAGAUGGUUAGGGAAGAGCGGUGAGUCGAGAUAAGACAUGUUAAUACUGCUGAUAUCGCCAUCUAGAAGACAAGUAUCUCUCACACAUUCUAUUGACCGAGUAUGAUUAACUAUUGUUUGUUUACAACGCUUUGUUUGAUGAUCUAAUGUCAUAUAACUCAACUUACAAUGUGUAUGUGUUAUCUAUAUGCCGUGGUGUCGAUUUCUGUAUGUCUUGCAAUGCAUUUUGAUUUUGAGUUACAUUUGGAAGAUUGUGAAAAUUGCUGGGACAAAUUCGCACUUCUAUGAUUCAAAAAGAAAUUGAGGAUGACACUAUUCGUCUUAGCAUAUACCUUCCAAGUGUUGUCAAUUUGAUGCUGGUAAAUCUUCCUGUUUUAGCCAAGGUCGCAGUAGAGGGACAAUUAGAAGGUAUCGGGGUGGCUAUUAUUUCGAUUUUAUCGACAUGCUCAUUACAAGCCAGAAAGAUAAGUAACUCUUACCUUUUUAACUUCCUAAAAUCACAGUCGACUACUGUCUAUUAACUAGAGUGUCCAUAAAGGCCUAUCUUUAUAGACAAGAUAAAUAAACUAUUAAUGUAUGAAUAUAAUGGAGAUUAUAAUUGUUUAGGGGCUUACCCUACAGUUGGUUGAUAUUAAUCACCCUAGAUUCAUCCUUGGUUCCUGUUGUUUUGUCACAAUAUAUGUUGCAGGUUGUUUCUACCAGCAUAGUGGGUCAUUUGGGUGAACUGAAACGCUAUUUGUAUGACGUGGUUAUGAUGUUUGAUUACUACUUUCAAAUGUUUGCAUUAAGCAUCCGUGAUGACAACGACUACAUAUCGAGUCUCAUGGGAGGAGAAAUCAAGAUUGCAAUGAUCUUAGAUGACAAGUCAAGCUCUAAUGUCAUCGUAAAAGAGUCGGACUGAAAAUAACAAUGACAGGUCAGUGUUUCUUUUACUUCUGCUUCUCGAAUAUUAAUGGAAGUGUGUCAUCCUAUGUUCCAAACCGGGCGUGGAAGUUAAGGUGGUUGAGGUGAAUCAUGUGUACCAAUUACAAUAGCUUCAGAUCAAUUGCUCUUGCAAAUAGUAGCAGAUUUCCAGGAGUCGUAACCGAGCAGGAAAGUUCGCCCAUGAUAAAACCUGAAGCCGGUAUAUUCGAGAAACAUGGACCUGGAUGGAUACAGUGAUUAUGGUGCUGUUUUGGUUGACUACAAAACUAAAAAGAUCAUAUGAAAGCAAGAUUACUAGUCUUAGGGAUAUUGGAAUAUCAUACAGACUGGGAAACAAUGCAACAAGAUACUUUCCCAGCAAGAUUGAUGCAUUACAUGAUGCAUUGAUUCCCCCGACGGUAAAGACAAAAACAAAGUUUCCAUUUUCAUUCAUUCCUCAUUUUCCAGUCUCUCACUAAUAUCUAUAAAUAGCUAAAUAGAUAUAUCAAUAUCAAUAAUAGUAACUAACUUUCUAGCCUCUUGAAUCAUCAUAACUUCUUCAAACUCACCUAUACUAUACUGAUAAAAAAACAUAAAUUCCAUCUUCAUUAGACAAGAGAAACUAAAUGGAAUUUUAUUCUAGUUCAUAUUCUUCCACCAAUAAUUCUUCAUACA